rnacentral:tmRNA from 1 species
GGGCUUGACCGGUUUUGACAGCGGGCAGAAAUGAUUUGUAAGCAUGCAGUGUGUCGUUGUCCGACACUUUAAUCACGGAUGACAACAAUUAAUUGGCGAAAAUACUUACGCUCUCGCUGCUUGAUCGAAGAACAGUAGAUUUAGCUUAAUUUCGACUCAAGGAAGUUGAAACGAGACAUCACCCGGAGCUGUGGCUUCGAAGCUGACCGAUAAGGUGGUGCAGGAAUAUCGGAGAUAGUCUGUAAAAGGUUCCGUGUUGCAGAUGAAAUUCAGGAAAUAAGUUCGAGAUUGGUGGCUGCCGUCUUGUGUCGAAUCGAAAAAAUAAAGGCAGAUAAGCAUGUAGAAAGCAGGUUGGUUCCUCGUUUGGACGAGGGUUCGAAUCCCUCCAGGUCCACUC